rnacentral:rRNA from 1 species
UGCAAGUAGAACGCUGAAGACUUUUCGCUUGCUAAAGUUGGAAGAAGUUGCGAACGGGUGAGUAACGCGUAGGUAACCUGCCUACUAGCGGGGGAUAACUAUUGGAAACGAUAGCUAAUACCGCAUAACAGCAUUUAACCCAUGUUAGAUGCUUGAAAGGAGCAAUUGCUUCACUAGUAGAUGGACCUGCGUUGUAUUAGCUAGUUGGUGAGGUAACGGCUCACCAAGGCGACGAUACAUAGCCGACCUGAGAGGGUGAUCGGCCACACUGGGACUGAGACACGGCCCAGACUCCUACGGGAGGCAGCAGUAGGGAAUCUUCGGCAAUGGGGGCAACCCUGACCGAGCAACGCCGCGUGAGUGAAGAAGGUUUUCGGAUCGUAAAGCUCUGUUGUAAGAGAAGAACGUGUGUGAGAGUGGAAAGUUCACACAGUGACGGUAACUUACCAGAAAGGGACGGCUAACUACGUGCCAGCAGCCGCGGUAAUACGUAGGUCCCGAGCGUUGUCCGGAUUUAUUGGGCGUAAAGCGAGCGCAGGCGGUUUAAUAAGUCUGAAGUUAAAGGCAGUGGCUUAACCAUUGUUCGCUUUGGAAACUGUUAGACUUGAGUGCAGAAGGGGAGAGUGGAAUUCCAUGUGUAGCGGUGAAAUGCGUAGAUAUAUGGAGGAACACCGGUGGCGAAAGCGGCUCUCUGGUCUGUAACUGACGCUGAGGCUCGAAAGCGUGGGGAGCAAACAGGAUUAGAUACCCUGGUAGUCCACGCCGUAAACGAUGAGUGCUAGGUGUUAGGCCCUUUCCGGGGCUUAGUGCCGCAGCUAACGCAUUAAGCACUCCGCCUGGGGAGUACGACCGCAAGGUU